AGCAGUGUGUAUUCUGUGCUUCGUUAGACUGCCUAGCAGUGUGUAUUCUGCGAUUCGUUAGACUGCCUAGCAGUGUGUAUUCUGUGAUUCGUUAGACUGCCUAGCAGUGUGUUCAGUAGGGUUCUGUGCGAGCACACUGAAUAGCAGUGUGUCGUAGUAUUCUGUGUUUAGUGUAGGGUUUGUGUGUGUGUGUGUGUUGCUUAGAUCCAGGUUGAUUAGCACCUGUAGACCAGCAGUCCUGUGUGUAUACUGCUUAGAUCCAGGUUUAUUAGCACCUGUAGACCAGCAGUCCCGUGUGUAUAUUGCGUAGAUCCAGGUGAUUAGCACCUGUGGACCCGCACCAGCUGUGUUUUCCUACAGCCCCGUUUUGUUUAUUGUUUUGUUCCACUUUUGAAGUGAGGUACUUUCUUUAUUUUGUAGCAUACUGUGCAACUCUCUUUUGGAGUCCUAUUUUGUUAAAUCGUAACAGUUUGGUCCGUUGUUGGUCCAGGCUGUUCGUGUGUAUUAUUGUGUUCAAAGUUUUGGUUACAAAUAAACCACCGGUAACAAUUACCAAUUCCAAA